rnacentral:rRNA from 1 species
ACUUGACGAAAGUUAAGCUAAUACCGGAUAAGACCCCGUUCCACAAGGAAUGUGGUAAAAGAAGUCUCAAACUUCAUUUGAGGAUGAGUUCGCGGACCAUUAGCUUGUUGGAGGGAUAACAGCCCCCCAAGGCGACGAUGGUUAGCCGGCCUGAGAGGGUGAUCGGCCACACUGGAACUGAGACACGGUCCAGACUCCUACGGGAGGCAGCAGUGGGGAAUUUUGCGCAAUGGGCGAAAGCCUGACGCAGCAACGCCGCGUGAGGGAUGAAGGUUUUCGGAUCGUAAACCUCUGUCAAGUGGGAAGAAAAAAAUGACGGUACCACUAAAGGAAGCCCCGGCUAACUUCGUGCCAGCAGCCGCGGUAAUACGAGGGGGGCAAGCGUUGUUCGGAAUUAUUGGGCGUAAAGCGUGUGU